rnacentral:rRNA from 1 species
GCGACCCCAGGAUGGGCGAGGCCACCCGCUA